rnacentral:lncRNA from 1 species
CAGAAACUUGUGUUCCUUUUCCAGUUAUAAAGCCAAUCUUAUCUAAGGAUAGCUCUUAAAAACAUUUCAGUAGUACAUAAUUACAGUCCCAGCCAGCAGUGCAAAGAAUGUCAUUUAAAUCAUACCACUGCAUUGAUCCUCUAUGCCAGCUCUUCUGAAAGCCAGCUCUCAGGAUGGAACACCCUCUAUAAACUUCUAAAUCCAGAUGGGAGAGUCUAUCUCUGGAAGUGAAGAGAAACGAGACUCUUCUGCCUACCUCCACCUUCCCCCCCUGUUGCCAGCCAAAGUAGCCCCUGUGGAAAAUAUAUGCAGAAGCAGCAGUUUCUUCCCUUCCCUCGAAAAUCUGCACCCAUUGUUUGUGCUGAUGCAGACAUUUCAUUUGAUGUGCAGAGACAACCCCACCCAGAGUUCCCAGGUUCCAUUCAAGAAAUGCUUUCUGGCUUCAUCACUGGGCUUGAUCCUCUUCCCACCUCAAACUGGCACUAAAUAUAAAACACAACGCAUGAACUGAGACUAGCAAAUUCCAGCCUGACUUCGGACGACUCUGUGUGUGA